rnacentral:rRNA from 1 species
GACAGAGGUGCCGAGCGUUAGGCGGAAUCACUGGGCUUAAAGCGUGUGUAGGCGGGCCGUUAAGUAUCUUGUGAAAUCCCCCGGCUCAACCGGGGAAUGGCUGGAUAUACUGGCGGUCUUGAGCGAUCUAGGGGCAGAUGGAACAGACGGUGGAGCGGUGAAAUGCGUAGAUAUCGUCUGGAACGCCAAAGGUGAAGACAGUCUGCUGGGGAUCUGCUGACGCUGAGACACGAAAGCCAGGGGAGCGAACGGG